GACGAACGCUGGCGGCGUGCCUAAUACAUGCAAGUCGAACGAGAGCGACCGGUGCUUGCACUGGUCAAUCUAGUGGCGAACGGGUGAGUAACACGUGGGUAACCUGCCCAUCAGAGGGGGAUAACAUCCGGAAACGGAUGCUAAAACCGCAUAGGUCUUCGAACCGCAUGGUUUGAAGAGGAAAAGAGGCGCAAGCUUCUGCUGAUGGAUGGACCCGCGGUGCAUUAGCUAGUUGGUGAGGUAACGGCUCACCAAGGCCGUGAUGCAUAGCCGACCUGAGAGGGUGAUCGGCCACAUUGGGACUGAGACACGGCCCAAACUCCCACGGGAGGCAGCAGUAGGGAAUCUUCCGCAAUGGACGCAAGUCUGACGGAGCAACGCCGCGUGAGUGAAGAAGGUUUUCGGAUCGUAAAACUCUGUUGUUAGAGAAGAACAAGUGCUAGAGUAACUGUUAGCGCCUUGACGGUAUCUAACCAGAAAGCCACGGCUAACUACGUG
rnacentral:rRNA from 1 species